AGCUGCCUUCCCAGAGUCAGGUCUGUGGCUUGCCCCUAUCUGCAGUGGAUGGACAGUGUUUAUGGGCUCAUGAUCAGAAGACAGUGAAAAGGCCACAAGGAACGGAAAAGCAAAGUGGACACGAAGACAGACUCGGCUGGAGAAUCACGCCUGGCAUUCUCUGUAAUUUGAAUAAACCUGAAAGUGCACCGGUA